GACAGAGGGUGCAAACGUUGCUCGGAAUCACUGGGCGUAAAGGGCGUGUAGGCGGGAAGGAAAGUCAGAUGUGAAGUCCCUGGGCUCAACCCAGGAACUGCAUUUGAAACUCCCUUUCUUGAGUGUCGGAGAGGAAAGCGGAAUUCCUGGUGUAGAGGUGAAAUUCGUAGAUAUCAGGAGGAACACCGGUGGCGAAGGCGGCUUUCUGGACGACAACUGACGCUGAGACGCGAAAGCGUGGGGAGCAAACAGG
rnacentral:rRNA from 1 species